rnacentral:lncRNA from 1 species
UAAAGUCAACUUGAUAAAAUUUUUGCUUUCUAAGUCUUAGUUUUCAUGUCUAUGAAUUUAACUUUUUAAAUUCAUAGAUAAAAUUUAAUUCAUAGGUUUAAACUGUAAGAUACAUUACACAAGAUCAGACUAAAAUAUUUAUGCAUAAAUGAGACUGGGAAUAUAUUUCUAGAGGAAUGGAUGGAUGAAGGAAAUGAAGCUAAGAGAUAAGAACAGGGAGAGUAGAGUUUCUGAGUCUAGUCACACUGGAUCAGCCAAUCACAGAUGAAGGGCACUGAGCAACAAGAGUUCAUCUUACAUUCCCCCAAACCAAUGAACUUGUAUUAUGCCCUGGACUAAUCUACUCUCAGAAGCAGGGAGGGCAGGAGGCUGGGUGGGGCUCACAAGGAAGACCAGGGCCCCUACUGCUUACACAUGCUUUUGACACAACUUGCAGCUACACAAACACACAUCAUGGUGUAUCUGACUCUUGAGAAGAAGGCUACUGUCAUUGACUUGUGGAGCAAGAUGAGGGUGGCUGAAGUUGGUCCGGAUACUGUAGGCAGGCAGGUAUUCAGUUUACAAGGCAGGCUGAAAGAGAAUGAAUGUCAGUUGGGUGUGUGGGGACAGAGCCAUUGCCUGAGAUUCUGGCAGGCACUGACUCCCUCUGACCUUGUGCUGUUUUCACCCCCUAGGCUGCUGGUCGUCUACCCCUACACUCAGAGGGGCACAGCUUGAGAUGAGACUGAAAUACUAAGUCCAAAUUGGGUGCCUCUGCUAACAUUGUCCUUGAUUUUUAUCUCUGCCACACAGCUCCUGGGCAAUAUCCUGGUGAGUACACUGGCUUGAAACUUUGGCAAGGAAUUCACCUCAGAAUUUCAGGCUGCCUGUCAGAAGGUGGCGGCUGGUAUGGUUAACGCUCUCACCUACAAAUACCAUUGAGAUCCUGUCCUAUUUUUUUUUUUCAAAAUGGAUGUUUAUUUCUAAUUGAUUGAUGAUUGGUUUACAAUAUUGGUUUGAUUACUAUCAUACAUUAAUAUGAAUUAACCAUAGGUGUAUGUAUUUCCUCCCAGCUGAAUCUCCCUCUCACCUCUGGCCCAUUCCCACCCCUCUAGGUUAUUACAGAGUUCCCAUUUGAAUUCCUUGAGUUGAUGACCAUUGUGAUAGCUUAUGUUGAAUGGUGUCAGAUUUUUGGCUUCCAGAGCAGACAGUUUCGAUCCGGGGCCAGAGACAAAAUUUGAUCACUCAGAGCUUUUGCGUGGCAGUUUUAUUACAGUGAAAAGGGACAGAGAAAGCUUCUGACAUAGACAUCAGAAGGGGAACAGGAGACUGUCCCACUAGCUAGUCUCAUCAAGACCUUAUAUAAUUUUUCAGUUGGUUACUAACAAUGGAAAGGUCUUAUCAAACCCUCUCCCUAAAUCCUAAAAUAACAGGAUUAGUCAGAAGUUCUUAAGAAGGAGAACCAUGUCCUCAAGCAACAUCCAUUGUUUUUAUAUAAUCAUUAGUGGACUUCCCUGAUGGCUCAGAAGGUAAAGCCUCUGUCUACAAUGCGAGAGACUGGGGUUUGAUCCCUGGGUUGGGAAGAUUCCCUGGAGAAGGAAAUGGCAACCCACUCCAGUACUCUUACCUUGAAAAUCCCGUGGAUGGAGGAGCUUGGUGCAGGCUACUGUCCACGGAGUUGCAAAGAGUCCGGAACGACUGAGCGACUUCAUUUUCACUUUCACUUUCUUUCAAUCAUUAGUGCAAAGUUUAAAGAAAAACAUAUUCUUUUUUUUUUAAUUUUAUUUUAUUUUUAAACUUUACAUAAUUGUAUUAGUUUUGCCAAAUAUCAAAAUGAAUCCAUCACAGGAAAAACAUAUUCUUGAGCAAGAUGAAUUGUUUUGUUGUUUAAUCAUUCAGUUCAGUUCAGUUCAGUCACUCAGUCAUGUCUGACUCUUUGCAACCCCAUGAAUCGCAGCACGCCAGGCCUCCCUGUCCAUCACCAACUCCCGGAGUUCACUCAAAC